rnacentral:rRNA from 1 species
UACUCCUACGGGAGGCAGCAGUGGGGAAUAUUGGACAAUGGACCGAGAGUCUGAUCCAGCAAUUCUGUGUGCACGAUGAAGUUUUUCGGAAUGUAAAGUGCUUUCAGUUGGGAAGAAAGAAAUGACGGUACCAACAGAAGAAGUGACGGCUAAAUACGUGCCAGCAGCCGCGGUAAUACGUAUGUCACGAGCGUUAUCCGGAUUUAUUGGGCGUAAAGCGCGUCUAGGUGGUUAUGUAAGUCUGAUGUGAAAAUGCAGGGCUCAACUCUGUAUUGCGUUGGAAACUGUAUAACUAGAGUACUGGAGAGGUAAGCGGAACUACAAGUGUAGAGGUGAAAUUCGUAGAUAUUUGUAGGAAUGCCGAUGGGGAAGCCAGCUUACUGGACAGAUACUGACGCUGAAGCGCGAAAGCGUGGGUAGCAAACAGGAUUAGAUACCCUGGUAGUCCACGCCGUAAACGAUGAUUACUAGGUGUUGGGGGUCGAACCUCAGCGCCCAAGCAAACGCGAUAAGUAAUCCGCCUGGGGAGUACGUACGCAAGUAUGAAACUCAAAGGAAUUGACGA